GAUGAACGCUAGCUACAGGCUUAACACAUGCAAGUCGAGGGACCGGCGCACGGGUGCGUAACACUUAUCCAACCUUCCCUUUACUCGGGGAUGGCCUUUCGAAAGAAAGAUUAAUGCCCGUUAUAAAGGAUUGGCAUGCGUUCGAUUAGGUUGUUGGUGAGGUCACGGCCCACCAAGCCUUCGAUGGAUAGGGGUUCUGAGAGGAAGGUCCCCCACAUUGGAAAGGAGACACGGUCCAAACUCCUACGGGAGGCAGGAGUGAGGAAUAUUGGUCAAUGGGCGUUAGCCUGAACCAGCCAAGUAGCGUGAAGGAUGAAGGCUUAUGGGUCGUAAACUUCUUUUAUAUAAGAAUAGGUAUUAUAUGAAUAAGGAUCGGCUAACUCCGUGCCAGCAGCCGCGGUAAUAC
rnacentral:rRNA from 1 species